AUUGAACGCUGGCGGCAGGCUUAACACAUGCAAGUCGAGCGGGGGAAGGUAGCUUGCUACUGGACCUAGCGGCGGACGGGUGAGUAAUGCUUAGGAAUCUGCCUAUUAGUGGGGGACAACAUCUCGAACGGGAUGCUAAUACCGCAUACGUCCUACGUGAGAAAGAAGGGGAUCUUUGGACCUUGCGCUAAUAGAUGAGCCUAAGUCGGAUUAGCUAGUUGGGUGGGUAAAGGCCUACCAAGGCGACGAUCUGUAGCGGGUCUGAGAGGAUGAUCCGCCCCACGGGGACUGAGACACGGCCCAGACUCCUACGGGAGGCAGCAGUGGGGAAUAUUGGACAAUGGGGGGAACCCUGAUCCAGCCAUGCCGCGUGUGUGAAGAAGGCCUUAUGGUUGUAAAGCACUUUAAGCGAGGAGGAGGCUACUUUAGUUAAUACCUAGAGAUAGUGGACGUUACUCGCAGAAUAAGCACCGGCUAACUCUGUGCCAGCCGCCGCGGUAA
rnacentral:rRNA from 1 species